rnacentral:lncRNA from 1 species
UGAGUGCAGGUUCCCGUUAUCUUUAAAGAUAGUUUCUCAGCGGGAGGCUGGACUAUCUGGGUAACGGUUUGAUUUAAUUGAUUAGUAUUGAUUAUUAUUGCUUAGUUGUUUAGUAGUUAGUAGUAAGGGUCUUAGGCCAUAUAGGCCAGACUACUGGUACUAUUGGUUUGUGUUGUAGAGUCGAGUGUCUAGUUAGGAUCUGGAACUUUGGCUUUAGGUUAGGUUCUAGAUCGAGUUUGUUUUGUUGUGAGUGUGCCGACAGUAUGUGCGUGACCCGCCCAUACUAGGCUUGUGUAGGGGUGAUUAGUGUUUCCUCGCCCUCGUAUUCAGCG